rnacentral:rRNA from 1 species
ACCUGUAUGAACGGCCCCAUGAGGGCCUAACUGUCUCCCUUGGCCACUCAAUGAACCUGAUCUCCCAGUACAAAAGCUGGGAUAAACCCACAAGACGAGAAGACCCCGUGGAGCUUAAGACCCCCCACUAUCAAACCCAUAGUGCCUAUCUUCAGUUGGGGCGACUGCGGAAAAAACAAAACCUCCACGCACACCACAACGGUCAACACACCACCGUAUCAAGCACAUGACCCAGUAAAACUGAUUAACGAACCAAGUUACCCCGGGGAUAACAGCGCCAUCCUCUUUUAGAGCCCCUAUCGCCAAGAGGGUUUACGACCUCGAUGUUGGAUCAGGACCCCCAGGUGGUGCAGCCGCUACCAAUGGUUCGUUUGUUCAACGAUUAA